rnacentral:rRNA from 1 species
GACGAACGCUGGCGGCGUGCCUAAUACAUGCAAGUUGAGCGCUGAAGGUUGGUACUUGUACCCACUGGAUGAGCAGCGAACGGGUGAGUAACGCGUGGGGAAUCUGCCUUUGAGCGGGGGACAACAUUUGGAAACGAAUGCUAAUACCGCAUAAAAACUUUAAACACAAGUUUUAAGUUUGAAAGAUGCAAUUGCAUCACUCAAAGAUGAUCCCGCGUUGUAUUAGCUAGUUGGUGAGGUAAAGGCUCACCAAGGCGAUGAUACAUAGCCGACCUGAGAGGGUGAUCGGCCAAAUUGGGAAUGAGACACGGCCCAAACUCCUACGGGAGGCAGCAGUAGGGAAUCUUCGGCAAUGGACGAAAGUCUGACCGAGCAACGCCGCGUGAGUGAAGAAGGGUUUCGGAUCGUAAAACUCUGUUGGUAGAGAAGAACGUUGGUGAGAGUGGAAAGCUCAUCAAGUGACGGUAACUACCCAGAAAGGGACGGCUAACUACGUG